GUAGUUCACCUCCUUUGUGGGUGGAUUGCACAUCACCUCUAUAGGGGUGGUUCUGUGGGGUGGGUGGUUGUGGUUGCCACUCAUCUUAUCAACUCCUUCUUAUUGUCCUCUGCCUGCUGGAGGUAUUUCUCUCUCAGGUCAACCUCCUGCAGGUAGUGUUUAAGGGCAUCCCUCAUGACACACCCAACAGACACAAACCUACCAGUCUUGAGGGAUUCAACCCUUAAAUCCUGCAGUUUCAAGUAUUCCUCUAUACCUAUCUCGACUGUUAUCGCCUUUUUAUCCAAGGUGAUCACCCCUUUUGUUUUU
rnacentral:misc_RNA from 1 species